ensembl:snRNA U6 U6 spliceosomal RNA
GUGCUCACUUUGGUAGCACAUAUACUAAACUUGAAACAAUACACAGAAGAUUAACCAUGGCCCCUGCACAAGGAUGACACACAAAUCCGUGAAGCACAUUCCAUAUUU